rnacentral:tRNA from 1 species
GCCUUCGUGGUGUAGUGGUCAGCACGCUCGACGCGUAUUCGAGAGAUCCGUGGUUCGAGUCCCGGCGAAGGCG